GGACUACCGGGGUUUCUAAUCCCGUUUGCUCCCCUGGCCUUCGCGCCUCAGCGUCAGGAACUGUCCAGAGACCCGCCUUCGCCACUGGUCUUCCUCACGAUCUCUACGCAUUUCACUGCUACACCGUGAAUUCCAGUCUCCUCUCCAGUCCUCAAGCAGAGCAGUAUCGAGUGCAGUUUCAGGGUUGAGCCCUGAGAUUUCACACCCGACUUGCCCCGCAGCCUACGCGCCCUUUACGCCCAAUGAAUCCGAACAACGCUUGAGACCUCUGUAUUACCGCGGCUGCUGGCAC
rnacentral:rRNA from 1 species